rnacentral:rRNA from 1 species
GCUUUUUGUCUGGCAGGCCAUCGGACUCCCAAGUAAACACAUUCAUGUGUACCCUUCCAUGUUGCUUCCCCAGACCAGUGGCCACUGCUGCCAGCCUCUAGCUCCUUAGGGGUAAUUGGGUUGAGGUGUCUGGGGAAGGACCCAAUAUCAAACUUUUGAACAAAUUUGUAGUCUGAGAAGGCUAUAUGCCGCAACCUUUAAAACAUAUUAAAACUUUCAACAACGGAUCUCUUGGCUCUCGCAUCGAUGAAGAACGCAGCGAAAUGCGAUAAGUAAUGUGAAUUGCAGAAUUCAGUGAAUCAUCGAAUCUUUGAACGCACAUUGCGCCCUUUGGUAUUCCUUAGGGCAUGCCUGUUUGAGCGUCACUAAAAACCUUCUCACAGAAAAUGUGGUAUUGGUAGAAGUUGGUAGUACUAACCAAUAGUACUUUGUCUGACUCUACUGAAAUGAAUAGGCCUGUAAAGUGGACCAUGGUAGUAGACUCUAGGAGUGUUGUAAAAUGCUAAACUAGUCUUUACCAGGUGUAGAUCCUGAGCUAAACGGACACCCCCUUUAGUCCAAAUCAGAGAGGUUGACCUCGGAUCAGGUAGGGAUACCCGCUGAACUUAAGCAUAUCAAUAGCCCGAAGGAAACAAGA